rnacentral:lncRNA from 1 species
UCCCCGCCUUAGGGAUUCUCACACGGUUCCACGGCUCCAGGCCCGGCGGCACCGCAGCCAUCAUGCGAGGCGGGGGGACUUACGAAAGGCGGAGCUACGCGAGAGCACGUCCAGCGACCGGAGGUAACACCUUGUGCAGCCGUAUGUACAUGGCAGCUGGUUGCAAUGUCCUUCCAGGAAUUCAUUCCUUCUGCAAACUAUUCUUAUGACCCUGAAGUUAUCUCCUUCUGCUUGACAAAGAAACAGUACAUCAGCAGUUUAUAAUUACAUUGUGGGAACAAGGAAUACUGGGCAAAAAGCGAGUGGUUAACAUGUACAAGCAAGCAAGGGCCUGUUCAAAAUUUUCAUUAUUUCAUGCACACACACACACACACACACACACAAAAAUGCUGGGGUGCUGAAAUCUCAAGCAGCUGAAAUCUCAAGGUUAUAUAGCUACAAAAUCCCUUCUCAGUGCAAGGUAACAUAUUUACAGAUUAUGGAAAUUAGCAUGUGAACAUCUUUGGGUGGGAGGUGGAGGGAUCUUUAUUCAGCCUACCACAGCCUCUCUCACAGAAUUUACCUCGCUUUAUUGUAUUUCUUUGUUUACUUUCAUGUCUAUUUCUCCAAUGGCAUAUGAACCUACUGAAAGCGAGAACUACCAUUGACAUAGCUAACUGGUCUUUCUAUCUCAAUGCUUAGUUCAGAGCCUGGCAUAUAGUAGGGCCUCAGUAGAUAUUUACUGGCUGUAUAUGAGGUUGGAUGAUGCUUGAAUAGAGUCUUUUGAAGGAUGAAUAGGAACUCCCCAGGCAGUUAAAGGAAAAAGGAUAUUCCUACAGAGAGGUUUUAAGCAGCAUGGGUUUGAAGAAUCACUAGUCCUGAGUUGGUACUGCUGGGACGUGAUUUGUGCUGAGGGGUGGAGCUGGGAAUAGUGGUGUCAGUCAGA